GGGCGGGAUUCAGAGUGGCCACGAAGAUUAAAUUUCUGGUUUUUAAAUAAGUUUCAAUUAGCUUCCUUUUAAAUUUCGCAUUUAUUUUUGAUUAUUUUUAUUUUGGUUAAAGUUGUAAUAAGGCCGCUCUAUUAUUUUUAUUUUGGGUUUUUAAAUUACUUAAAUCGUUUUCAACUUGAGAUUCACAUCACUUAAAUUGAUUCCUUAAAAUUGGUUAGCUCUAGGGCGCGUUUUAUAAAAGUUACUUAUUUUCAAAAUAUCACGAUAACUGAGCAAAGCUU
rnacentral:lncRNA from 1 species